rnacentral:lncRNA from 1 species
UUUCAACAUAUGAAUUUUGGGAGGGACUCAUUUAGUCCAUUGCAACCCCUGUGAGUUCACUUCUAGCUUAAGCCUUUUUGGGUUAGGUUGUCUGUUACUUAUUGCUUGAGGGAAUCUGUCUACUGGAAAGAGGGACUGCUACUAUUAACUUCCUUACCUAAUUCUCUUACUAGGACUGGACAGAAUCAGGACUACCAGUAUCAUUUUGCAAAAUUCACUUGCAAUCAUCGGUGACAGGAAGUCGGGUGGGAUUCUGAAGAAGAGCCAUGGCACCUCCCUGGUUCCAAUGUGUGGACAACCUGUACCAAAUGGCUUCUAGCAUCAUCACUCCUCUAUCUUCUGAGAUACAAUCACGUCUAAUCAAAGGCCAUAUUCUAAAGAUUGCUUUCAGGUGUUUUUUUUUUCCCCUAAACCUUUUAGUUAAACAGGCAAAACUCAACUUCUAUAAAACGGAUUGGAGUCAGUUCCCUUUUCUCUUACUUGGUACAAGCACUGAGAAGAGGACUGGAACAGAUGACAAGCAGCCUGCAAGAGAAAGAGGAGAGGCUGUGGGGCCUGCACCAGCUCAGAACAGCUUUGAAACAGAAAUUACUUUUAUUAAAAGUAUGAAUUGA